CGUAACAAGGUCUCCGUUGGUGAACCAGCGGAGGGAUCAUUACUGAGUUUACGCUCUACAACCCUUUGUGAACAUACCUAUAACUGUUGCUUCGGCGGGUAGGGUCUCCGCGACCCUCCCGGCCUCCCGCCUCCGGGCGGGUCGGCGCCCGCCGGAGGAUAACCAAACUCUGAUUUAACGACGUUUCUUCUGAGUGGUACAAGCAAAUAAUCAAAACUUUUAACAACGGAUCUCUUGGUUCUGGCAUCGAUGAAGAACGCAGCGAAAUGCGAUAAGUAAUGUGAAUUGCAGAAUUCAGUGAAUCAUCGAAUCUUUGAACGCACAUUGCGCCCGCCAGCAUUCUGGCGGGCAUGCCUGUUCGAGCGUCAUUUCAACCCUCAAGCUCUGCUUGGUGUUGGGGCCCUACAGCUGAUGUAGGCCCUCAAAGGUAGUGGCGGACCCUCUCGGAGCCUCCUUUGCGUAGUAACUUUACGUCUCGCACUGGGAUCCGGAGGGACUCUUGCCGUAAAACCCCCAAUUUUCCAAAGGUUGACCUCGGAUCAGGUAGGAAUACCCGCUGAACUUAAGCAUAUCAAUA
rnacentral:rRNA from 2 species